rnacentral:rRNA from 1 species
AUGGCGGCGGCGAGGGUGCUCCUGCCAUCCUACGCCGCUCUCGUCAUCCUCCUCCUCGUCCUGCCCUCCAGCGCCGCCGCUGGCGGCACCGCCGAUGGGUCGGAGGAGUGGGGAUACGUGGAAGUCCGACCAAAGGCGCACAUGUUCUGGUGGCUGUACCGCAGCCCCCACCGCGUGGACAACGGCACAGCGCCAUGGCCGACCGUGCUGUGGCUGCAGGGCGGCCCGGGCGGGUCGGGGACGGGCUACGGCAACUUCAUGGAGAUCGGGCCACUGGACGCAGACCUCAAGCCCCGCGCCACCACCUGGCUCAACAAGGCCGACCUCCUCUUCGUAGACAACCCCGUGGGCACGGGGUUCAGCUUCGUGGAGGGCGGCAACCAGAGGCUGAUGGCGCGCACGGACGCCGAGGCGGCGGGCGACCUGACGGCGCUGCUCAUCGAGCUCUACCGUCACAAGACGCGGCUGCAGGGGAGCCCACUCUACAUCGUGGCCGAGUCCUACGGCGGCAAGUUCGCCGUCACCACCGCCCUCGCCGCGCUCAAGGCCAUCCGCCAAGGACGCCUCCACGCCAAGCUUGGAGGUGUGGCCCUCGGUGAUAGCUGGAUUUCACCCGAGGACUCCGUAUUGUCGUGGGGGCCGUUGCUGUACCAAUUGUCCCGUAUCGACGAGAACGGACUGCAGCAAUGCGAUAGCCUGGCGCAGCAGAUCAAGGCGCAGCUCAAGGCGAAGCAGUACGCGGCGGCCGAGACGUCGUGGGCGAAGCUCGAGUCGGCCGUCCACCAGCACAGCAACAACGUCGUACGCACAGUUCAUAUUCCUUUCCUGAUCUCUGUCCCUCUUCUUCCUCCGUCCCCGAGGAAGAACUUCUACAACAUCCUCAAGGACAACUCGGCGGCGGACGCGGCGGCCGUGAGAAAGGUGGGGUACGCGGGCUACCUGAGCUCCAAGGCGACGAGGGAAGGCGGCCUCGGCGGCCUCAUGAACACCGAGGUCAAGGCCAAGCUCGGCAUCGUCCCCCGAAACUUCACCUGGGGAGAGCAGUCGGGCGACGUGUUCGAGGCCCUCAGAGGCAACUUCAUGAAUCCUAGAAUCCACGAGGUUGACGAGCUCCUGAAACUUGGCGUGGAGGUGACCAUCUACAGCGGACAGCUCGAUCUCAUCUGCGCAACCAAGGGAACACUGGACUGGGUCCAGAAGCUCAAGUGGAAAGGCCUGAAGAAGUUCACGGACGCGCCCAGGAAGCCGGUCUACUGCAAGGGCGGUGAGGCGGCCGGCACCCAGGCCUUCGUCAAGUCGUACAAGAACCUGAAAUUCUACUGGAUACUCGGAUCCGGGCACAUGGUACCGAUCGACAACCCUUGCCCUGCACUCGAGAUGCUGGGUGACAUUACACAAUCUCCUGCUCGGUAG